AUGUGAACUUACCAUUGUUGCCUCGGCAGAAGCUGCUCGGUGCACCUUACCCUGGACCGGCCUACCCUGUAGCGCCUUACCCUGGAACGGCCUACCCUGUAGCGGCUGCCGGUGGACUACCAAACUCUUGUUAUUUUAUUGUAAUCUGAGCGUCUUAUUUUAAUAAGUCAAAACUUUCAACAACGGAUCUCUUGGUUCUGGCAUCGAUGAAGAACGCAUCGAAAUGCGAUAAGUAAUGUGAAUUGCAGAAUUCAGUGAAUCAUCGAAUCUUUGAACGCACAUUGCGCCCAUUAGUAUUCUAGUGGGCAUGCCUGUUCGAGCGUCAUUUCAACCCUUAAGCCUAGCUUAGUGUUGGGAGCCUACUGCUUUUACUAGCUGUAGCUCCUGAAAUACAACGGCGGAUCUGCGAUAUCCUCUGAGCGUAGUAAAUUUUUAUCUCGCUUUUGACUGGAGUUGCAGCGUCUUUAGCCGCUAAAUCCCCCAAUUUUUAAUGGUUGACCUCGGA
rnacentral:rRNA from 1 species